ACAUAACGUGUAAGAAAUGGUACUUAUGAAAAUAAGUUUAAAUGGGAAGAGCGAUGUAAAUUCGCCACUGUCCCGCAACUGUAAUUGGGAGUUUUUCAAACAACGCCACUGUUCUUUAAUGGGAAGGCUUGAAAAAUGUUGAACAUAAGUCAGGAGACCAGCCAUCUUCUAGUACACACC
rnacentral:ncRNA from 2 species